rnacentral:rRNA from 1 species
GUGUCAACAGCCGCGGUAAUACGUAGGGGGCGAGCGUUGUCCGGAAUCAUUGGGCGUAAAGCGCGCGUAGGCGGCCCUGUAAGUCCGUUGUGAAAGUCAAAGGCUCAACCUUUGAAAGCCGGUGGAAACUGUGGGGCUAGAGUCCGGAAGAGGCGAGUGGAAUUCCUGGUGUAGCGGUGGAAUGCGCAGAUAUCAGGAGGAACACCAAUAGCGAAGGCAGCUCGCUGGUACGGUACUGACGCUAAGGCGCGAAAGCGUGGGGAGCGAACAGGAUUAGAAACCCGUGUAGUCC